AUGUCUUUAUUUGUUUGAUUGUUCUGUAUAAACUUGAGGAAAAAAAAAAAAAACGUAUCAGUUUAAUAUCUGAUACGUCCUCUACCCGAGGACCAUAUAUUAAUCUGAUUUUUGGAACAGGGAGACGGAAGAGGGGCUUGUUCCGUCGCUCCCGAGAUCGAUUCGUAUUGCAGUGACUCCGGGAACGGUGCACAUCCC